rnacentral:rRNA from 1 species
UACGAAGGGGGCUAGCGUUGCUCGGAAUUAUUGGGCGUAAAGAGCUCGUAGGCGGUCUGUCGCGUCGGUUGUGAAAACCUGGGGCUCAACUCCAGGCCUGCAAUCGAUACGGGCAGACUAGAGUUCGGUAGGGGAGACUGGAAUUCCUGGUGUAGCGGUGAAAUGCGCAGAUAUCAGGAGGAACACCGGUGGCGAAGGCGGGUCUCUGGGCCGAAACUGACGCUGAGGAGCGAAAGCGUGGGGAGCGAACAGG